rnacentral:rRNA from 1 species
GACGAACGCUGGCGGCGUGCUUAACACAUGCAAGUCGAACGGUGAACGAGGGAGCUUGCUCCCUCCGGAUCAGUGGCGAACGGGUGAGCAACACGUGAGCAAUCUGCCCCGAACUCUGGGAUAAGCGUUGGAAACGACGUCUAAUACCGGAUACGACGCGGGAGGGCAUCCUCUCCGCGUGGAAAGAACUUCGGUUCGGGAUGAGCUCGCGGCCUAUCAGCUUGUUGGUGAGGUAACGGCUCACCAAGGCGACGACGGGUAGCCGGCCUGAGAGGGUGACCGGCCACACUGGGACUGAGACACGGCCCAGACUCCUACGGGAGGCAGCAGUGGGGAAUAUUGCACAAUGGGCGCAAGCCUGAUGCAGCAACGCCGCGUGAGGGACGACGGCCUUCGGGUUGUAAACCUCUUUUAGCAGGGAAGAAGCGAAAGUGACGGUACCUGCAGAAAAAGCACCGGCUAACUACGUG